AGAGAGAGACAUGCGCGCAUAUCAAUAAGCGGAGGAAAAGAAACUAACUAGGAUUCCCUCAGUAACGGCGAGUGAAGCGGGAAGAGCUCAAAUUUGAAAUCUUCAAGGUUCUACCUUGACGAAUUGUAGUUUAAAGAAGUGUUUUCUGCUGAAGUUUUGGUAAAAGUUCUUUGGAAUAGGACAUCAUAGAGGAUGAGAAUCCCGUAUUUGACCAUUAUUUUCAGCUUUGUGAUACACUUUCAAAGAGUCGGAUUGUUUGGGAAUGCAGUCCAAAAUGGGUGGUAAAUUUCAUCUAAAGCUAAAUAUUGGCGAGAGACCGAUAGCGAACAAGUACCGUGAGGGAAAGAUGAAAAGAACUUUGAAAAGAGAGUUAAACAGUACGUGAAAUUGUCAAAAGGGAAGCGUUUGACACCAGUGUUGUUUUCUCGAAAAUCAAUUAAAAAUGGCUCGAUUUUGUAUUGUUGAGACCUUAAAAGCUCACUGUACAUUUUUCGUGUCUUUUUUAAUGCACUUUUCGUUUAACAAGUCAACAUCAGUUUCUUUUGUUGUAAAAGGGUCAUUGGAAGGUGGCUUUCUUUUCGGAGAAAGUGUUUAUAGCCUUUGGCCUCUGCAAUCGGAAGAGACUGAGGUCUGCAGCGUAGACUCUUCGGGGUUAGAUACAUUUGUGCUAAGUUAUAGCUUUUUAUAGACAACUUGUUGACUAUAAUUAGUCUUGUAGCUUACUCGCUUAUGCUAUUUUACCUACGCUUAGGAUGUUGAGUCGUAGAGCACGCAG
rnacentral:rRNA from 1 species